rnacentral:lncRNA from 1 species
AUAAUUAUCUAUGGAAGGACACGUUUUGAACUUUGGAGGUGCAAUGCGUAUGAUAUUCACUAUAAUUCCGUAUAUAUUUAUAUAUAUCAAAAUCUUUAUCUUAUGUACUAACUAAACUAAACUCUAAAUAUAAAUAAAAAUUAAUUAAAGUUCUAAUUCUUCUCCAACUCAAUCCAUUAUCUCCUCACAACUAACCUCAAACCCAUCCUUCCGCACCAUCGCAUACAACCUUGCCGCCGCUCUGAGCCUGCGGUCCAUCGUGCUUCACCGCUGCUCUUAGUCUUUUUCCGGUCGCCGCCUCCCCUCUUCGAAGGCCGUUUGAGGUUAGUUUUGAUUCUCGCUUCGUCUGUUAAUAAGCAUUAUUUUGGUAAAUGAAUUGGACGUGUUUAUAUUUAUUUUGAUUAGAAUUAUACUUAUAAUUAUUAUUAACAUUCCUUUUUGUUGUUUGUAACCAUUUGUCUUGUGAUGUUUGGUUCGAUCUGCAUGUUGUUUGUUGUAAUAUGAGCUGCUUCUUUUUUUAUUAGUGUUUUUGUUUUAUUUGCCACUGAAUUAUGUUAGUGAACUCUGUGUUAAGAUUUAGGGGCCGGGGUUUUAGCUUUCUACUACUUGAUCUUUCUUCAGCUUCAUCGUUCUCAUUAUGUCUUGUGUCUUCAGCAUCGGGCAUAUAUUCACUUUUUAGAAUGCAGUUCUUGGAGCCCAUCUCUGUUUUGUUGAGCAGUGCUUUAAUCAUGGCUAAUUAAAGAUUCGAUUUUUGGGAUUUUGAAGUCCUUGAUUUGCUGUCUUCUUGAAGAUAUUGCAAUCUACUUGAGUUUUUCUGUGAUGAGAGGAAACGUUCACUAUCUUGAUAUUUUUUGCUGUUAAGAUGGCUGCAUUAUGCGGAAGCUUUAUAAAUUGGAGUAGUUACAGUGCGAAAGAUUAAAAAAUAAACUUUUUUUCUUGCUAAUCUGAAUAUAUUUGUGGGAUGAAUAUGUUAGGCAUGGAAAAUUGUGUUCCUGGGUGCAUGUGAAAGGAAUUUUGAUCGUAUAUUUGUUAAUCCAUAAAGAAAGAAGUUCAAUUGAGUUUUGACAAGGAGAAUCUUGAAAUAAGAAAAUGGUGUCCUAGGAGAUCUUUUUUUUUUUUUCUCUCACGAGAAUCAUAGAUUCUGCUCCGAACAUAGAAAUGGUUGUAGAAUUUGGAACACUAGACCUUUUAUGAGCAGCUUAGAGCUCAAAGAAUUGGUUAUUAUAUUUCAUGAUGGAUGUGACAUUUAAUUAUUUAUUGUUGUCGCGUCACAGAAUAAAUAUUUAUUUGCAGAAUUUUGAAGUUUAUAUACUAACUAUGAGCAUGAAAGUUACAUUGCGCAAAACAAGCUCAUCUUCAGGUAUAUAUAUUAAUUGUCUAUAUUAUAAUUACCACAUGUCACACAACAUGAGCACAAAUCAAAAUAUUUUUUAAUUAAUAUAUUUAUAUUUAUAUAUUGCAGUUAAUGAGGUAUAUAGACAAAGAAGAAAUCUACAAAAGCAAAAGAAACGUAAACGAAAUGCAAGUGAUUUGAAAUGU